CAGCCGCCGCGGUAAAACGUAGGUGGCAAGCGUUGUCCGGAAUUAUUGGGCGUAAAGGGCUCGCAGGCGGUUUCUUAAGUCUGAUGUGAAAGCCCCCGGCUCAACCGGGGAGGGUCAUUGGAAACUGGGAAACUUGAGUGCAGAAGAGGAGAGUGGAAUUCCACGUGUAGCGGUGAAAUGCGUAGAGAUGUGGAGGAACACCAGUGGCGAAGGCGACUCUCUGGUCUGUAACUGACGCUGAGGAGCGAAAGCGUGGGGAGCGAACAGGAUUAGAUACCCGAGUAGUCCCUGUCUCUUAUAA
rnacentral:rRNA from 1 species